GACGAACGCUGGCGGCGUGCUUAACACAUGCAAGUCACGGGGGCCCGCAAGGGUAACCGGCGAACGGGUGCGUAACACGUGAGCAAUCUGCCGUCCACUGGGGGAUAGCCGGCCCAACGGCCGGGUAAUACCGCAUACGCUUGCCGGGUGCAUCACUUGGCAAGGAAACCUCCGGGGGUGGACGAGGAGCUCGCGGCCUAUCAGCUAGUUGGUGGGGUCACGGCCCACCAAGGCGAUGACGGGUAGCUGGUCUGAGAGGAUGGCCAGCCACAUUGGGACUGAGAUACGGCCCAGACUCCUACGGGAGGCAGCAGUGGGGAAUAUUGCGCAAUGGCCGCAAGGCUGACGCAGCGACGCCGCGUGGGGGAUGAAGCAUUUCGGUGUGUAAACCCCUGUGGCCCGGGACGAACCUCCCCUUUCGAGGGGACUGACGGUACCGGGUGAGGAAGCACCGGCUAACUCCGUG
rnacentral:rRNA from 1 species